rnacentral:rRNA from 1 species
AACGAACGCUGGCGGCAUGCCUAACACAUGCAAGUCGAACGAGACCUUCGGGUCUAGUGGCGCACGGGUGCGUAACGCGUGGGAACCUGCCCUUAGGUUCGGAAUACCUCCCCGAAAGGGGUGCUAAUACCGGAUAAUGUCUUCGGACCAAAGAUUUAUCGCCUUUGGAUGGGCCCGCGUUGGAUUAGCUAGUUGGUAGGGUAAAAGCCUACUAAGGCGACGAUCCAUAGCUGGUCUGAGAGGAUGAUCAGCCACACUGGGAGUGAGACACGGCCCAGACUCCUGCGGGAGGCAGGAGUGGGGAAUAUUGGACAAUGGGCGAAGGCCUGAUCCAGCAAUGCCGCGUGAGUGAUGAAGGCCUUAGGGUUGUAAAGCUCUUUUACCCGGGAUGAUAAUGACAGUACCGGGAGAAUAAGCUCCGGCUAACUCCGUG